ACUGGGGCCCGGGGCCUGCGCGACCUGCGGGGCCUGCACCGUGGGGCCGAGGGCGGCCCCAUUCCCGCCUCGGCCCCCAGGGACUCGAUGAGGCACAGCCUGACGAAGCUGCUGGCGGCCUCGGGUAGCGGCUCCCCGGCCCGGAGCGGGAGCCCGGCGCCGGCGCCCUCCCCGGCCUCGGGCUGUCUGCGCCCCCCGGGCCUAGCCCGGGUGGCGGCCGGGGAGGAGGGAGGCAGCGGCAGCGGCGGCGGCGGCGGCAGCAGCGAGGAGGAGGAGGAAGAAGGGGACGGGCCUCCGCGGCGGCAGGAGGGCGCCCCGGAGGCCGCGCCUGCUGAGGAGAAGAUGGAGGAGGAGGAGGAGCCGCCCGUGGCCGGCGCCCGUCCUGAGGAGCCGGAAGACAUGGACUUUCUGUCGGGCCUUGAACUGGCUGAUCUGCUGGACCCCAGGCAGCCCGACUGGGACCUGGAGCCGGGCCUCAGUUCGCCGGGGCCGCUAUCCUCGGGGGGCGGCUCGGACAGUGGCUGCCUGUGGCGGGGGGACGACGAUGACGAGAUGGCGGCCGCAGCCGCUGAGAUGCAGCGCUUCUCUGAUCUGCUACAGAGAUUGGUGAACGGCUCCGGCUCUGGCGGGGGCAGCAGCAGCAGCAGCAGCGGCGACGGUGGCGGCAGCAGCGGAGGUUCCGGCGGAGGCGGCGAGAGGAGACGGAGGAAGAACCCGGGAGCUGGAGGCAGCGACGGCGGCAGCGGCGGCGGCAGCCACAGCCCGGCGGCGGCCAAGAGUCCCCGCAAAGCGGCCGCCGCCGCCGCCCGGCUCAACCGGCUGAAGAAGAAGGAGUACGUGAUGGGGCUCGAGAGCCGUGUCCGGGGCCUGGCCACCGAGAACCAGGAGCUGCGGGCCGAGAACCGGGAGCUGGGCAAGCGCGUGCAGGCACUGCAGGAGGAGAGCCGCUACCUGCGGGCCGUGCUGGCCAACGAGACCGGGCUGGCGCGGCUCCUGAGCCGGCUGAGCGGCGGGGGACUGCGACUGACCACCUCCCUCUUCAGGGACUCGCCCGCCGGGGACCACGACUAUGCCCUCCCCCUGGGCGAGCGGCGGCAACAGGAAGCUUUGGAGGACGAGGACCCUGCGGGAGGUGUAUGUCUCCACGUGGACAAGGAUAAAGUGUCGGUGGAGUUCUGCUCGGCGUGUGCCAGGAAGGCAUCGUCUUCUCUUAAAAUUUUCUUUUUUAGGUGAUUUCCUCCCUGCCAGGCUCCGUUGUAGGGGUUACAGAACAGUCGUACCCGCCUCACAACCUGUGGAUACAGCUGUUGGGGCAGAAGAGACGGGACCAGCUGCUGGCCACAUUUCCUGCUUUAUUUUAAAAGCUUAGCAGUGUCUGCAAAAACGAAUCUUUUCCUACAACCUGUAACUGACUGGACUGAUGGUAACAAAGUAGUUGUGGGAGCCAUGUCGGUCACAAAUUUUGGCAUCUGCUGAAACAUGAAUGCCAUUUCAAGCCCCCAAAUUACUUCUAUACUGAUUUUACUUUCCUGAAGUGGAGAUUUGAAAAGAUCUGGAAUCCUUGAAAGACUUAAUAGAAACAAAUGAGACUAAUGGAUUAAUUUUUGGAUAAAAUAUUCUUGUCUUUCAGAGGAGUCAUAAUUCAGUUCUUUGCAGUACCCUUUAAAAUUGGAACUGCCCAUUGGACAAGAAAAUUAUAUAUUCUUUUAUCUAGCACUUUCAGUUUCUUUAGGAAGGAGCACAGACUAGUGAAAAACAUUUUGGAAAAUAGAAUUAAAUUAACAGGCCAUCAAUGGUUGUAAGGUAUAUAUAAUUUGUGCUCACUUAACUGUAUGUAACAUGGCAGUCUGUGAAGCUGAUGCAUUAACUUGCUGAACUUAGUAAAAUAAUGCAGAGUUCAGUAUUUAGAGGGUAGGCCUUUUAUAGAUGUUUAAUCAUUUUGUUUUCGUGUUCUUGGAAGAUUGGUAAAAUGUGUGAUACUAUCUUAUAUAACUGAGAAUUACAUAGGCAAGAAAUGUGGAUUGCUUUUUUCUUAUUAAUGAUUAAUUUGACAAUGUUGGGAAUAAUUUGAAGUUUCUAAUAACUCUUGUAAUAGUUUUUAUUCACACUUUAAUGUCAAACAGUCUAUUGUUAUAUAAUGGCUUUAGCAUUCUGGAUUUUAGAAGUGAUGUCCUGAUAGUAAAUGGUUUUAUGGCACCUACAUUUUUCCAGUUUAAAUGCCAUGAGGAAGCCUCAUCAAAGUCUGGUUUUCAACAAGUUUUACUUGUUGGACAGC